CAGGGAAUCUUGCACAAUGGACGAAAGUCUGAUGCAGCGACGCCGCGUGGGGGAUGAAGGCCCUAGGGUCGUAAACCCCUUUCAGUGGGGACGAAACUGACGGUACCCACAGAAGAAGGUCCGGCCAACUACGUGCCAGCAGCCGCGGUAAGACGUAGGGACCGAGCGUUGUCCGGAAUUAUUGGGCGUAAAGAGCUCGUAGGCGGUUGCGUAAGUCGGAUGUGAAAACUUGAGGCUCAACCUCGAGACGCCAUCCGAUACUGCGCUGACUCGAAUCCAGUAGGGGAGUGUGGAAUUCCUGGUGUAGCGGUGAAAUGCGCAGAUAUCAGGAGGAACACCUAUGGCGAAGGCAGCACUCUGGGCUGGUAUUGACGCUGAGGAGCGAAAGCAUGGGUAGCAAACAGGAUUAGAUACCCCCGUAGUCC
rnacentral:rRNA from 1 species